CAGCAAGCUUUCGGAAAAUUACAAACAUCGAAAAUUCUGAACAUUUUUCAUUCGAGUAUGGCAGAAAGCAAUCUAAAGAAAGCCAACGUUUGCUAUUGUUGUGCUCGACAUACAGCGAUACCGACGGACUUUUAAUACGAAACACAAUUUCUAUCGAUCUUAUUAUCGGUUCUAAAAGAGAUUUGAUUCAAAAAAUUGUUCUUGCCAUUUGCCUAAUACUUCUUUUGUGCGGUUUGUGUUUGAAAUUCAAAGCUAUGAUAAAACCUCUCAUAUUAACAAAAGCGGAUAGUUUCAUUUAUUCGAUGCACAAGCAAUGCACGGACAAUCAGAAUCUGUAUACAGUUUAUUGACAGACAAUCAUUGGAUAAUCAGUUUAUCUCAAUGGGAUACCAUUGAUGAAACUGAAAUUAUUGACGAUUGCAAGGACACUUGCACCAUUUUGGAUCGGGAAUGUAUAAAAAAAGUGCUUGAAUUUGAAAAAGGUUAUCCAAAAAAAAUGUUUGUGAAUAUGAAGCAUUAAACCAAUCGUGGCCAGAUCUCAUCAUUGGCAAGCGUAUGGCAUAUAAGUAAGCAAGAAAGAGAAACCUCAUAUUAGAUAUAUCCCACAUAUAAUUUAAUUUUUCGGAAAUUUUAAAUUAAGACUGCGACUACAGAUAGUAGUACAUUAUUUUGUAGUAUCCUUAUUUGGAAUAAAAUCACAUUAUGAUAAGCGUAAAAUGUUAGCUAAGAUAGUCAAUAUCCGUAUAUUCGAGUAUAUGUUGGUACCGAUAAAAUCUGGAUAUCAAUCUGAUUGAUACCGGCAUUUUCGGAUAUUAUUUUCUACAAUUUUCAAACUCUUGGACUUAUAAUUAAGGAUGAAACCAAUUAAACUACCCAUUUUCUGUGUUCCUUUUUAUUUGUUCAUAAAGAUCUUAGGCAACUGUGAACAAAUUGUACCAUUGACAUGUUGUAACUCUCAUAUGAAAUUGCUCCAUUAUGGGGAUAUUAUCAUAUCUAAUUCAUUC